AUAGCGAAACAAAUUUUAGUUAAAUUUACAUAACUAAUUUUGUGGUGUAAUACAAUACUAGUCAUGUUAUUUUGUAUUUGAUGUGCAGUAAUUUAAUAUUAGGCUGUUAUUAACUUAAUCAACUUAAACGAAGUAGUAGAGCUGCUGCAACAGAACUGUCUUUUUAUAAUUAACUUAAAUGUAUCCUUAAUUAUUAUCAGUACGUUAGACUACGUUUUACCAAACUAUGUAUUGUUGUUCCAACAAAACUGUAUAUGUUUGCAGACUGUUAAAGUGUUUGAUUGAUUUUAACCAAAUCUAAUAGCAUACUAAUAAUUUUACCUUACAUAACUACCAGGUAACAAUUUCAUUCAAAUAUUAGACAAACAAUUAUGUUGUCUUUAAUUUACUACUCUAUUUAUUAACAAAAAAUAGUUUUGUAACAAAUAAGUGAUUUUACUUCUUUGUUGCUUACUUAAGCAAAUGUACGAAUUAAGGAAAACUAUAGUUAUAAAGUACGUAAUGUUUAGUAAAACACUACAAAACUUUUGUUAUCUGUAGCUCGAACGAUUGUUUAUAACAUGAAACAGAAUGACGCGACGCGCACAGCCGCACAGUAAACGGACCGGACCGAAGCAAACCUGUUCGUUCCCGUUUGUGUUUCCUCGAGACGAGAGUCUCAGCAUUUCAGCACGCAUCACAGUUUGUUCAGUCCGGUUGUUAUUAAUAAAAUUCAUGGUAUUUGUGAAGAAAACCUUGGAGGCAAGGGCGGGUGCACAAUAUGAGUGAACUUGAGGAGGCGGCGGCGGCGGAGUCAGCCAGAACCUCCGAGUGUGAGAUGCCUCGUGUACUAGUACCACUACGAUGGAGGAGUACCUAGCGUCGUGGCUCUCCCUAUGUAAAUAUUUAGAUGUUUAAAGAACACAGAAAACAUAUUGAUAUUUUGCAGUUAUUAUCAGAAGAGGAAAUAUAAGAAAUUAUUACAAGGCGAAACUGAUUACCCAAACAGCCAUGCUACAAAACAUAAUUAGUAUAAUUACGGACGCAUUUUCCAAAAAAAACAUUGUGAAGAAGUCCUGGACCUGGCAGCAUUUAUGGCGACCCCUUUUUUGGU